GAAUCAACUAGGGAGCUUUUAAAACAUAUCAGUGAUUGGGACUUACCUGAUCCAUUAGUUUAGGGUAGGAUGGAUUACAUAUGUAUUUGUAAAAUCUCCCCAGCUGAUUAAUAGUCUACAAAAUGACCGAAUGAAAAAUACCGUGGUAAGCCGUGAGAAAUAGCGAAAGUCAUAUAUCCCAAACACCAUUCUGUAGCGAAACGGAGGGGUUUGGAACGAUUGGAAAUACUUCCACCCCAGGAAUUUCCAGGACAUCUGGAAGAUGUAAGCCUAAUAUAAAGAAUCUAUGACAUAGCAAGGAUUGGUCAUCUUCCUUCACUCUGGCAGAGUCCUACCUGCACAGACCGGCAUCAGCUUUUACACACGAGGAAGCAACGGGCAAGGGGAAAAACGUGUAAAGAUGCUUCUCCUCACGCUCUCGGCUGCCACCUUACCUUUCGCUCUGAUUGAAUCCCUUCUAAAUAAAUUGGUAACCUACAGGAAAUAGGCACGUGUGAUCUCCUCUUGACAAGUUGUGGA